GACGAACCGUACAAACGUUAUUCGGAAUCACUGGGCGUAAAGCGCACGUCGGCGGUUUGCUAAGUCAGGGGUGAAAUCCUGGAGCUCAACUCCAGAACUGCCUUUGAUACUGGCGACCUUGAGUCCGGGAGAGGUGAGUGGAACUGCGAGUGUAGAGGUGAAAUUCGUAGAUAUUCGCAAGAACACCAGUGGCGAAGGCGGCUCACUGGCCCGGUACUGACGCUGAGGUGCGAAAGCGUGGGGAGCAAACAGG
rnacentral:rRNA from 1 species